UCAAGCCGUAUGCUUUGGAAGAAGCUUGUACAGUUUGGGAAGGGCUUUUUAUUUCUCAAAAAGAAGAAGAGACUUCAAC
rnacentral:ncRNA from 1 species